rnacentral:rRNA from 1 species
UUGAACGCUGGCGGCAUGCCUUACACAUGCAAGUCGAACGGUAGAGGGGGCAACCCUUGAGAGUGGCGAACGGGUGAGUAAUGCAUCGGAACGUGCCCAGUCGUGGGGGAUAACGCAGCGAAAGCUGUGCUAAUACCGCAUGUGAUCUGUGGAUGAAAGCAGGGGACCGCAAGGCCUUGUGCGAUUGGAGCGGCCGAUGUCAGAUUAGCUAGUUGGUAGGGUAAAAGCCUACCAAGGCGACGAUCUGUAGCUG